GACGAACGCUGGCGGCGUGCUUAACACAUGCAAGUCGAACGGAAAGGCCCCUUCGGGGGUACUCGAGUGGCGAACAGGUGAGUAACACGUGCGUAACCUGCCCUUGACUUCGGGAUAACUUCAGGAAACUGGGGCUAAUACCGGAUAGGAAUCCUUGCUGCAUGGUGGGGGUUGGAAAGCUUCGGCGGUUUUGGAUGGACUCGCGGCUUAUCAGCUUGUUGGUGGGGUAGUGGCUUACCAAGGCUUUGACGGGUAGCCGGCCUGAGAGGGCGACCGGCCACAUUGGGACUGAGAGACGGCACAGACUCCUACGGGAGGCAGAAGUGGGGAAGAUUGCACAAGGGGCGGAAGCCUGAUGCAGCAACGCCGCGGGCGGGAUGACGGCCUUCGGGUUGUAAACCGCUUUCAGCAGGGGCGAAGCUUGUGGUGACGGUACCUGCAGAAGAAGCACCGGCUAACUACGUG
rnacentral:rRNA from 1 species